GGAGGCGCUUCGUCACCGGUGUGGCGCCCGGUCUUCAAAACCGCGUGGCAGGCUUUACGGCCUGCGGUAGGUUCGACUCCUAUGCGUCUCCGCCA
rnacentral:tRNA from 1 species